GAUGAACGCUAGCGGCAGGCUUAACACAUGCAAGUCGAGGGGUAUUGGUUUUCGGACCAAGAGACCGGCGCACGGGUGCGUAACGCGUAUGCAAUCUACCUUUUGCAGAGGGAUAGCCCAGAGAAAUUUGGAUUAAUACCUCAUAGUAUAGUAGUUUCGCAUGAAACGACUAUUAAAGUUCCAACGGCAAAAGAUGAGCAUGCGUCCCAUUAGCUAGAUGGUAAGGUAACGGCUUACCAUGGCAACGAUGGGUAGGGGUCCUGUGAGGGAGAUCCCCCACGCUGGUAAUGAGACACGGACCAGACUCCUACGGGAGGCAGCGGUGAGUAAUAUUGGACAAUGGGCGCAAGCCUGAUCCAGCCAUGCCGCGUGCAGGAUGACGGUCCUAUGGAUUGUAAACUGCUUUUGUACAGGAAGAAACACUCCCUCGUGAGGGAGCUUGACGGUACUGUAAGAAUAAGGAUCGGCUAACUCCGUGCCAGCAGCCGCAGUAA
rnacentral:rRNA from 1 species